rnacentral:rRNA from 1 species
UACGAAGGGUGCAAGCGUUACUCGGAAUUACUGGGCGUAAAGCGUGCGUAGGUGGUUUGUUAAGUCUGAUGUGAAAGCCCUGGGCUCAACCUGGGAAUUGCAUUGGAUACUGGCAGGCUAGAGUGCGGUAGAGGAUGGCGGAAUUCCCGGUGUAGCAGUGAAAUGCGUAGAGAUCGGGAGGAACAUCUGUGGCGAAGGCAGUCCGCUGGGCCGUUGCUGACGCUGAGGCGCGACAGCGUGGGGAGCAAACAGG